rnacentral:miRNA from 14 species
AAUUGGCUUUUGAAAAUACUAAUAGAGAAACACUGUCUCGGGCUGGAGAGAUGGCUCAGCCAUUAAAGGCUAGGCUCACAACCAAAAAUAUA